rnacentral:lncRNA from 1 species
GGGCGCGAGCACGAGGAGCCGGGCGUGCCGGGAAAGCGGGGCGGGGCGGAGAGGCCACGGACGCGGCACGCGCGCCGGAAGACCCGCGAGGCGAGGGAGCCAGGGGGGAGGGGGGAGUGGCGGGAGGGCGCUCGCCCGGCCGGGAGGCCCGGCCGCGCCCCCCGUCCCGCGCCGCGGCGGGGACGCCCGACCGCGCGCACGCUCUCGGUCCACGAGGGUCGCAGCGCACCGCCGCCACCGCGCGGAGGGCCGAGGAGGGGGAGGGAGAGGGCGGCGGAGCCCCCUCUCCCUCCACCCCCGCACCCGCCCCCCCCCACCGCGAGCCCGCCCGCCCCGGGGGGGACUCCACCACGGCCAAGGCCACACCGCGGACGGCCGACGCGCGCCCUCGGCGUCCGGCCGUCACACCCGCCCCAGAGGGGCGGGGGACGCCGGCCGGCGAGGACACGGCGACCGGCCCGCGGUGGGCAAGACCGGGGACCCGACCCGCGCUCGGGCGAGCGCACCGGAGCGGGGGGCCGCGGCGGGGCGGGGGAGGGGGGAGAUCACGGGAGCUCCCCCUCGUCCAGCACGCGACGGCGGCGACGGACAGGCGGCGGCGAAACGGGCAACGGAUCGGGACCGCGGCGGGCCCGGAAGCGAGACACACCAGGGCGCGGCCCCGGGAGGCAGCAGACGGCGAGCGGACUGAGGCGGACGGACAGACGGAGAGGGGCACCGACGGGGUGCGGCCACGCGAGGCCAACGCCACGGAACAGGGGCGGUGUUGGUGGGGCGGCCGCGCGCCACCGCGAGGGGCGUGGCUCAAAGCGACCCGUGCUGGGGCAGGGGGAAGCGCGAGUCGGCCGCCAGGGCCCACCGCGGGAUCUCACCGCCGGAGGCCUCCCAGCACAGGGACGGUCCCACCGCACGCCCGGGACGACGGACUGGCGCCCCCCCCCCCCCGGCACCCUCACGGGGGCUCACGCCCACCGCCACCGACACACACCCGAGAGCCGCAAGCCGGCCAGGGAGAACGCUCUCCCGCCGCGCACCGGCGGCCCCCACGUCCCCCACACGCGCAAAGCUCCCCGCGCGCCGCCCCGCCUCGGGGACGCCACCGGCCGACGGAGGCCGGGGGACGACACCCACAUGAGGCGAGGCCGGCUCGGCCCCAGACAGGGGAAGGGAGCGCGGGGCGGUCGCACGCGCGGGACGAGGAGGAGAGGCCGGCAGCGGCGGGGAGGGGCCGGCAAGCACGCACGGCGGGGGCCGCGGGACAGGGCCGCGGGCGCCAUCCGGGGACCACAAAGACACCGGGAACACGGCCGGGCCACCAGGAAAACCAGCGCGGGGUCCCACCGCCACCCACACACGAGGGCGGUCCCGCGACACGCCUGGGACGCCGACCGGUCCCGGCCAGCCCCAGAGCGGGCCCCCACGACCCGGCCCCGCCGCCAGGGCCGGCGAGCCGCCCAAACCCAUCUUCCGCCACCCGUCCUCGACAGAUCCGUCUUCCGAUCUAAGUCUGCCACCCCGAGGCUCGACAUCCUGGGGAUCACGCUCUCGAGCGAGGCGGCCCCGACCGUGACCGCACGCCGCCACCGGCUGCGGCUCGUGGGGAGAGGGCGGGCGCGAUAG